rnacentral:rRNA from 1 species
CCGGCGCACGGGUGCGUAACGCGUAUGCAACCUACCUAUUGCAGGGGAAUAGCCCAGGGAAACUUGGAUUAAUGCCCCAUAGUCCAUAUUGAGAGCAUUUGAGAUAUGGUAAAGAUUUAUCGGCAAUAGAUGGGCAUGCGUCCCAUUAGCUAGUUGGUAUGGUAACGGCAUACCAAGGCUACGAUGGGUAGGGGCCCUGAGAGGGGGAUCCCCCACACUGGUACUGAGACACGGACCAGACUCCUACGGGAGGCAGCAGUGAGGAAUAUUGGACAAUGGGCGGGAGCCUGAUCCAGCCAUGCCGCGUGCAGGAAGACUGCCCUAUGGGUUGUAAACUGCUUUUUUACGGGAAGAAACACCCCCACGUGUGGGGGCUUGACGGUACCGUACGAAUAAGGACCGGCUAACUCCGUGCCAGCAGCCGCGGUAAUACGGAGGGUCCGAGCGUUAUCCGGAAUCAUUGGGUUUAAAGGGUCCGUAGGCGGGCGUCUAAGUCAGUGGUGAAAUCUCGCGGCUCAACCGUGAAAUUGCCAUUGAUACUGGUCGCCUUGAAUUAGUGUGAAGUGGCUAGAAUAUGUAGUGUAGCGGUGAAAUGCUUAGAUAUUACAUAGAAUACCGAUUGCGAAGGCAGGUCACUAACACUAUAUUGACGCUGAUGGACGAAAGCGUGGGGAGCGAACAGGAUUAGAUACCCUGGUAGUCCACGCCGUAAACGAUGGAUACUAGCUGUCCGGCCUGCAUUGGUAGGCUGGGUGGCCAAGCGAAAGUGAUAAGUAUCCCACCUGGGGAGUACGUUCGCAAGAAUGAAACUCAAAGGAAUUGACGGGGGCCCGCACAAGCGGUGGAGCAUGUGGUUUAAUUCGAUGAUACGCGAGGAACCUUACCAGGGCUUAAAUGUAGUCUGACAGGGGUGGAAACACCCCCUUCUUCGGACAGACUGCAAGGUGCUGCAUGGUUGUCGUCAGCUCGUGCCGUGAGGUGUCAGGUUAAGUCCUAUAACGAGCGCAACCCCUGUCGUUAGUUGCCAGCAUGUAAAGAUGGGAACUCUAACGAGACUGCCGGUGCAAACCGUGAGGAAGGUGGGGAUGACGUCAAAUCAUCACGGCCCUUACGUCCUGGGCCACACACGUGCUACAAUGGCAGGUACAAUGGGCAGCCACGCCGCAAGGCGGAGCGAAUCCACAAAACCUGUCUCAGUUCGGAUCGGGGUCUGCAACUCGACCCCGUGAAGCUGGAAUCGCUAGUAAUCGGAUAUCAGCCAUGAUCCGGUGAAUACGUUCCCGGGCCUUGUACACACCGCCCGUCAAGCCA